rnacentral:rRNA from 1 species
GAUGAACGCUGGCGGCGUGCUUAACACAUGCGAGUCGAACGGAAAGGCCCAAGCUUGCUUGGGUACUCGAGUGGCGAACGGGUGAGUAACACGUGGGUGAUCUGCCCUGCACUUCGGGAUAAGCCUGGGAAACUGGGUCUAAUACCGGAUAGGACGAUGGUUUGGAUGCCACUGUGGAAAGUUUUUUCGGUGUGGGAUGAGCUCGCGGCCUAUCAGCUUGUUGGUGGGGUAAUGGCCUACCAAGGCGUCGACGGGUAGCCGGCCUGAGAGGGUGUACGGCCACAUUGGGACUGAGAUACGGCCCAGACUCCUACGGGAGGCAGCAGUGGGGAAUAUUGCACAAUGGGCGCAGGCCUGAUGCAGCGACGCCGCGUGGGGGAUGACGGCCUUCGGGUUGUAAACUCCUUUCGCUAGGGACGAAGCGUUUUUGUGACGGUACCUGGAGAAGAAGCACCGGCUAACUACGUG